GAUGAACGCUAGCUACAGGCUUAACACAUGCAAGUCGAGGGGAAACGACAUCGAAAGCUUGCUUUUGGUGGGCGUCGACCGGCGCACGGGUGAGUAACGCGUAUCCAACCUGCCCACCACUUGGGGAUAACCUUGCGAAAGUAAGACUAAUACCCAAUGACGUCCAUAGAAGACAUCUGAAAUGGAUUAAAGAUUUAUCGGUGAUGGAUGGGGAUGCGUCUGAUUAGCUUGUUGGCGGGGUAACGGGCCCACCAAGGCGACGAUCAGUAGGGGUUCUGAGAGGAAGGUCCCCCACAUUGGAACUGAGACACGGUCCAAAC
rnacentral:rRNA from 1 species